UCCCUGAUGGUCCAGUCGCUAGAGCUCUAAGCUCCCAAUACAGGGGACCUGGGUUCGAUCCCUGGUCAGGGAA
rnacentral:tRNA from 1 species